rnacentral:rRNA from 1 species
AACGAACGCUGGCGGCGCGCCUAAUACAUGCAAGUCGAGCGAGAAGACGUAGCAAUACGUUUGUAAAGCGGCGAACGGGUGAGGAAUACAUGGGUAACCUACCCUCGAGUGGGGAAUAACUAGCCGAAAGGUUAGCUAAUACCGCGUACGCUCCUUGGACUUCGGUUCAGGGAGGAAAGCGAUACCGUGGGUAUCGCGCUCUUGGAUGGGCUCAUGUCCUAUCAGCUUGUUGGUGAGGAACGGCUCACCAAGGCUUCGACGGGUAGCUGGUCUGAGAGGACGAUCAGCCACACUGGCACUGCGACACGGGCCAGACUCCUACGGGAGGCAGCAGUAAGGAAUAUUGCGCAAUGGGCGAAAGCCUGACGCAGCGACGCCGCGUGGGGGAUGAAGGUCUUCGGAUUGUAAACCCCUUUCGGGAGGGAAGAUGGAACGAGCAAUCGUUCGGACGGUACCUCCAGAAGCAGCCACGGCUAACUUCG